AUUGAACGCUGGCGGCAUGCCUUACACAUGCAAGUCGAACGGCAGCACGGAGCAAUCCUGGUGGCGAGUGGCGAACGGGUGAGUAAUAUAUCGGAACAUGCCCAGUAGUGGGGGAUAACUGCUCGAAAGAGCAGCUAAUACCGCAUACGACCUGAGGGUGAAAGGGGGGGAUCGCAAGACCUCUCGCUAUUGGAGCGGCCGAUAUCAGAUUAGCUAGUUGGUGGGGUAAAGGCCUACCAAGGCAACGAUCUGUAGUUGGUCUGAGAGGACGACCAGCCACACUGGGACUGAGACACGGCCCAGACUCCUACGGGAGGCAGCAGUGGGGAAUUUUGGACAAUGGGCGCAAGCCUGAUCCAGCAAUGCCGCGUGCAGGAAGAAGGCCUUCGGGUUGUAAACUGCUUUUGUCAGGGAAGAAAUCCUCUAGGUUAAUACCCUUGGGGGGAUGACGGUACCUGAAGAAUAAGCACCGGCUAACUACGUGCCAGCCGCCGCCGUAAAAC
rnacentral:rRNA from 1 species